GGGUCAGUAGGUUGGUCUUGCCACCGGUACGUACUGGUCUCACUGAUUCCUCCUUCCUGAAGAACCGUAAUGCCACUAAUUUGGUGUUGCGGGGAAACAGGACUGUUACUUUGAAAAAAUUAGAGUGUUUAAAGCAAGCUAACGCUUGAAUACAUUAGCAUGGAAUAAUGAAAUAGGACGAUCGAUCCUAUUUUGUUGGUUUCUAGGAUUGACGUA
rnacentral:rRNA from 1 species